rnacentral:rRNA from 1 species
UCUGGUGGCAAUUGCGAAGAGGUCACACCCGUUCCCAUACCGAACACGGAAGUUAAGCUCUUCAGCGCCGAUGGUAGUUGGGGGCUGUCCCCCUGCAAGAGUAGGACGGUGCCAGGC